GGGGAAUUUUCCGCAAUGGGCGCAAGCCUGACGGAGCAAUACCGCGUGAGGGAGGAAGGCUCUUGGGUCGUAAACCUCUUUUCUCAGGGAAGAACACAAUGACGGUACCUGAGGAAUCAGCAUCGGCUAACCCCGUGCCAGCAGCCGCGGUAAUACGGAGGAUGCAAGCGUUAUCCGGAAUGAUUGGGCGUAAAGCGUCCGUAGGUGGUUAUGUAAGUCUGUGGUUAAAGCGUGGGGCUCAACCCCAUAAGGGCCAUGGAAACUACAAGACUUGAGUAAAGUAGGGGUAGAGGGAAUUCCCAGUGUAGCGGUGAAAUGCGUAGAGAUUGGGAAGAACACCGGUGGCGAAAGCGCUCUACUGGACUUAAACUGACACUGAGGGACGAAAGCUAGGGGAGCGAAAGGGAUUAGAUACCCCUGUAGUCCUAGCCGUAAACCAUGGAUACUAGGUGUUGCCCGUAUCGACCCGGGCAGUGCCGUAGCUAACGCGUUAAGUAUCCCGCGCGGGGAGCACGCACGCAAGUGUGAAACUCAAAGGAAUUGACGGGGGCCUGCACAAGCGGUGGAGUUUGUGGUUUAAUUUCGAUGCAACGCGCACAACCUUUCCCAGGGCUUGACAUGUCUAGAAAUUCUGCGAAAGUAGAAAGGCGCCCUCGGGAGCCUAGAACGCGGGUGGGGCAUGGCUGUCUACAGCUCGUGUCUUGAGAUCGUGGGUAAAACUCCCCCCACCUAGGUCACCCCUCCUCGGGUAGGUGGGCCAUCAUUAACUUGGGCCUUUAUACAAAACUGGCGGGUUGAAAAAACCGGAGGAAGGGUGGGGAUGACCCCAAGUCAACAUGCCCCCUUUCACUCGUGGGUUCACAAUUACUGAUAUGCUUGGGGAAAGGGCAGGCCAACAUGAUGUUGCGCUAUUCAUAUAUCAGGGAUCAGUUCACAUGCAGGGUGCACUCCCUGCACGAGGCGUAGUUGCUAGUAAUCGCACGUCAGCGUACGGGCUGAAUCAGUUGCCCGUGCCUUCGUACACUCCUCCCGUCACACACCGGCAGUUGGUCACGCGCGAAGGUGGUUAAUCUAUACAUUUAACAAGAGGACUCGCAAGGGAGGGGUGAUGACUGGGGUGAAGUCGUAACACGAUAUGCGUACAGGCAGGCGUGGCUGGAUCUCAUCCUUUUAGAGAGACCUCACAACAUGGCGAAAGAAACACACAGGAAAAACUCACAUGUGUGUUUUCGCAAGGUAGAGAGGUUUUGAUGAGAGGGCUUUCAAACUUUAUAUUCUAGUUCAGCUUUCUCUGUGCUAUUAGCUCAGGGGUAGAGCACACCCCCGAUAAGGGUGCGGUCUUUGGGUCAAGUCCCGAAUAGCCCACUUAAACAAAGCAAAUGGUGAACACAAACUAGUCAAAUUAAGGGAUUAUAGUGCGUUAAUGUAACUCGGGGGUUUUGCUCAGUUGGUAGAGCGCCUCCUUUGCAAGCCGGAUGUCAGCGGUUUUAUUCCCCUAACCUCCAUCGGGGGCCCCAACAACAAAAGUUAGAGCACUCAACUAGAAUAGACACCGCCAACACCCGAACUGAAUUCAGCACCUAAUAAAUGAGUAUUUUGCUGGGGUCACAAGUCCAGUUUGCACCCUGACAACUGCAUAAUAAUCAACAGUCAGGUAGUUGUAAUGUAAGUUCAGACAAUCCAAACAUAAAUCAUUGAAACUUGUGAGGUAAGUUCUAGGUUUGAUUAUUUAAUUAACCGCACCGAAGACAACCGCCCAAAGUGGUCCAGCUACAAAGGGCUUUCGGCGGAACCCGGGCACACAGAGGCGAAG
rnacentral:sRNA from 1 species